UACAGAGGUCUCAAGCGUUGUUCGGAUUCAUUGGGCGUAAAGGGUGCGUAGGCGGCGCGGUAAGUCGGGUGUGAAAUCUUGGAGCUUAACUCCGAAACUGCAUUCGAUACUGCCGUGCUUGAGGACUGGAGAGGAGACUGGAAUUUACGGUGUAGCGGUGAAAUGCGUAGAUAUCGAGAGGAACACCAGUGGCGAAGGCGAGUCUCUGGACGAUUCCUGACGCUGAGGCACGAAAGCCAGGGGAGCAAACGGG
rnacentral:rRNA from 1 species